UAGGGAAUCUUCCGCAAUGGACGAAAGUCUGACGGAGCAACGCCGCGUGAGUGAAGAAGGAUUUCGGUUCGUAAAACUCUGUUGUUAGGGAAGAAAAAAUGUAUAGUAACUAUAUACAAAAGAGACGGUACCUAACCAGAAAGCCACGGCUAACUACGUGCCAGCAGCCGCGGUAAUACGUAGGUGGCAAGCGUUGUCCGUAAUUAUUGGGCGUAAAGCGCGCGCAGGUGGUUUAGAAAGUCUGAUGUGAAAGCCCACGGCUCAACCGUGGAGGGUCAUUGGAAACUAAUAAACUUGAGUGCAGGAGAGAAAAGUGGAAUUCCUAGUGUGGCGGUGAAAUGCGUAGAGAUUAGGAGGAACACCGGUGGCGAAAGCGGCUUUUUGGCCUGCAACUGACACUGAGGCGCGAAAGCGUGGGGAGCAAACAGG
rnacentral:rRNA from 1 species